AUACGGAGGGGGUUAGCGUUGUUCGGAAUUACUGGGCGUAAAGCGCGCGUAGGCGGAUUAGUAAGUUAGAGGUGAAAUCCCAGGGCUCAACCCUGGAACUGCCUUUAAUACUGCUAGUCUUGAGUUCGAGAGAGGUGAGUGGAAUUCCGAGUGUAGAGGUGAAAUUCGUAGAUAUUCGGAGGAACACCAGUGGCGAAGGCGGCUCACUGGCUCGAUACUGACGCUGAGGUGCGAAAGCGUGGGGAGCAAACAGGAUUAGAUACCCUAGUAGUCC
rnacentral:rRNA from 1 species